CUGAAACAGGAGGUUGUGGAGGGCUGGGAAGGGGCAGGAAGGGGAGGGAGAGGAAGUAAUGGGAAAUGGUGGGGGAGGAUGGCCAGGAAGUUGCAGAGCACAGGGAGAUGGAGGGAAGAAAGACGAGAGCAGAGUGUGAAGAACUCAGGAGAUGUGAGCCUCUGCUGUGUGGCCAUCCCCUGCUGAAUGCUCCCCGCUGCCUGCGCCUGGUGCCCUUCCCAGGAAAACGUACACCCAGGGAUGUUCCUUCCCUGUGCAAAUGGGGCAGCUCUUCUGCCUCUUUGCACGGCCCUGGCUGUUUCUCUGGUUGGGACAGGAGCACUUCAGACCCCCCUCUGCAGCUCCCCUCCCUCCAGCCUGCUGGACUGCUGAGAAAUCCUUUCUCCCAGCAGUUCUUUUGCUUUCUUUCAGGAUGUGCUCAGUGUUGGGAUGCACUCAGCCAUGUAUCUUUCAUGGAUACAUAUCAUGGAUAUCUAUUUGGAUGCCCAGACCAUGGGGAUGAGUCUUACUUAUAGAGGUGGGAAAAGACCACUGAGAUCAUCUGAUCCAUCCAUCUCAUUUUCAAUUAAUUUUAUGGACAACAACAACAACAAAAAUAAUCAUGUGCCUCCUUCAACCCCAUCCCCCCAAAAAAAACACGUGCAAAUAUGAUUUCUUAUCUAAAGGAAAGAAAUAUUAUUAUAUAACAGUGUAUUUUCAACACAGAUAAAAUGUAAUUUGAACACCUAUACCUAAUGAAGUAACUAUAUAUUCUAUUUUAAACACUCUAAAGAAUCACGUGAAAACAUUAAUACUGAACAGCAUGAAGGAGCUGUUGGGGCACUGGUGGCUGUUGAAGGGAAACUCCUCGUGUGGCCAGCGAGGAGCUGCAGUGCAUGGUGGGCUCUGAGAGCUUCACAACCUUCGUGGGUACGGUGACCACAUCGCAUAUAGUUGCAGUGUCAAAGGGGUCGUCCAUUUUCAGGAACGACCUCUUUCUGCUCUGCUGCACUUCCAGAUGUUUGGAUUUCUUCUGACGCUUCCCUGAUGGUUUCUCGCUCACAGCACUUUUCUGCAGAGGGUGGUCAGAGU
ensembl:lncRNA